UUUUUGGAGAGUUUGAUCCUGGCUCAGAGUUAACGCUGGCGGCGUGCCUAACACAUGCAAGUCGAGCGAAGAGUACCAGAAUAUCGGGCUCUUAGCGGCAGACGGGUGAGUAACACGUAAACUAUUUGCCCUCGAAUGGGAGACAACCUGACGAAAGUUUGGCUAAUACCCCAUACAAUCCUCUCGGAGCAUUCCGAGGGGAUGAAAGGCCCGCAAGGGUCGUUCGAGGAGAAGUUUGCGGCCUAUCAGCUAGUUGGCGGUGUAACGGACCACCAAGGCUAUGACGGGUAGCCGAUCUAAAAGGAUGACCGGCCACAAGGGCACUGAGACACGGGCCCUACUCCUACGGGAGGCAGCAGUGGGGAAUUUUGGACAAUGGACGAAAGUCUGAUCCAGCGACGCCGCGUGAAGGACGAAGGUUUUCGGAUCGUAAACUUCUUUUGCAGGGGACGAAUACGCGCAAGCGUUUGACGGUACUCUGCGAAUAAGCCACGGCUAACUACGUGCCAGCAGCCGCGGUAAUACGUAGGUGGCGAGCGUUACUCGGAAUUACUAGGCGUAAAGCGCGUGUAGGCGGGAGGUUAAGUUCGCUGUUAAAUCUCAUAGCUCAACUAUGAAAUGCCGGCGAAUACUGGCCUUCUUGAAUUCGGUAGAGGUAACUGGAAUUCCAGGUGUAGCGGUGAAAUGCGUAGAUAUCUGGAAGAACGCCAAAGGCGAAGGCAGGUUACUGGGCCGCAAUUGACGCUGAGACGCGAAAGCUAGGGGAGCAAACAGGAUUAGAUACCCUGGUAGUCCUAGCUGUAAACGAUGUAGACCAGGUGUGGGAGGUAUCGACCCCUUCCGUGCCGACGCUAACGCAUUAAGUCUACCGCCUGGGGAGUACGGCCGCAAGGUUAAAACUCAAAGGAAUUGACGGGGGCCCGCACAAGCAGUGGAUCAUGUGGUUUAAUUCGACGCUACGCGAAGAACCUUACCUGGGCUCGAACGACUAGUGGUAGUCCUUAUGAAAGUGAGGGCGACCCGCAAGGGAGCUAGCCGAGGUGCUGCAUGGCUGUCGUCAGCUCGUGUCGUGAGAUGUUGGGUUAAGUCCCGCAACGAGCGCAACCCUUGUCCUGUGUUGCUACCCCGCAAGGGGAGGACUCUCAGGAGACUGCCGUGGAUAACACGGAGGAAGGUGGGGACGACGUCAAGUCAUCAUGGCCUUUAUGUCCAGGGCUACACACGUGAUACAAUGGUGCAGACAGAAGGUCGCAAUACCGUAAGGUGGAGCCAAUCCCCAAACUGCACCCUAGUUCAGAUCGUGGGCUGCAAUUCGCCCACGUGAAGCUGGAAUUGCUAGUAAUCGCAGAUCAGCAGGCUGCGGUGAAUACGUUCCCGGGCCUUGUACACACCGCCCGUCACACCACGAAAGUCAGAUGCAACAGAAGUACCUCGGAUACUCGAGGUCCCAAGUUGUGCCUGGUGAUUGGGGUGAAGUCGUAACAAGGUAGCCGUACGAGAACGUGCGGCUGGAUCACCUCCUUU
rfam:Elusimicrobia bacterium RIFCSPHIGHO2_02_FTLL_61_10 rifcsphigho2_02_scaffold_14260, whole genome shotgun sequence.